UCCUCAGGGAGAGAGAUGCGAUGAAGCCAGCUGCCAGGUCAGGAGUGCUGAAUAUUUCCCGGGGAGUUUGGUUCAAGGCGAUGUGAUAUAACCUCAAACACCUAAAGGCUACAAGAGAACUAUCUGGAGACCAUCUUAGAGAGGGAAGACUCGUCCCCAAGCAGGAAGGACCACCCUGGACAAGCAAGUGCCGUGGUUUGGUCAUGAACGGAUUUUGAAUAUGAUCCAGCUAAGUUCACCUUGUCGCCCACUUGGAAGAGUUUUAAUUUAAUGUUCCAGUUGUAUCGUCACCAACAACAUGUUUACCUCAAAGCGGCAGCCAAAAGCUGCAAGUUGGGACUGGAGAGGUGGCUCAGUAGUUAGUAGCAGGGUUUGAUUUUCCAUGGAGGCAGGUUUGGUUCCCGGCACCCAGGUGGCAGCUCACAACCAGCUGAACUCCCUGAGGGACCCAAUGCCCUCUUCUGGCCUCCUUAGGCACUGAGUUGUGGGGUGCACAGACACACAGGCAGGUGA